CAGAGCCCAACGUGGGGCUCGAACCCACAAACCGUGAGAUCAUGACCUGAGCUGAGGUUGGACACCCAACUGACUGCGCCACCCAGGUGCCCCUAAAGCUGUAGUUUUAAAGAUCAUCAAAUGAGCAAGUCAUAUGGUCCAACUCCAAAUCAAAAGAUAAGGAACCAUCCUGUGCUUAUCAUGAAGCCAUGGUAAGAGGGGGCUGCAUACUAUAGGUCCACAGAGCAAGGAGCCAGAAGGGAGUAACAACAGGUGUUGAGGAGGAGAGGAGCCCACAACUGAGCAACGUCUGGGAGGGCUGUGCUGGAGCAGCGAGAACAGCAGGACAACCUGAAAGAUACAGCAUUUUAUUUGCAAAAUCUUUGCCAACUAACUUGAAGAAUGAAAGAAAAUAAUUCCGUCGCUAUCUCAAAAAGAACAUCUUUUAAGCUUCCCUCCCAACCUGAG